CAAAAUACAAAUAAAAAUAUGAAACUUCAAAUUUGGAGUUUUGAGUAGUGAAACUUCAAAUAUGAGUUUCACUCUUUAAAACUAUAAAUUGAAGUUUUGAAGUUCUUUUUUGGAGAGCAAAAACUCAAUAUUUGAAUUUAUAGAGUUUUUUUUUGACGUCGAACGGUCAAGCUUGAAGUGGUCUGGGUAACCAGACCGGAAUAGAACAACCAAUGAAAAGUAACUCCCUAUGAAAGGUCCUAGCCGUCUUAGCUAAAAAAUCAGAAAACUGAUUGCGCACUCGUGGCACAUGGGUGAUUUUGAAGUCCGGGAAACAAAUCUGCAGCGUCUCUAUCUUCUCCAAUUCUGUCGCGAAGCUUGGCCACACCUGGGUUCCUUUAUCAUUGCAAUCAGCUCCUUGCAGUCUGUUCCAAAGCUCUGGCGUGGCGAGUGUUGAAGCAUAUUCUCCAUCGCCCAUCGCAGUGCUUCUACCUCCGAAUGUAAUGCUGAUUCACAUCGAGUGAAGUUCUGUGUUCCCAUGAGUUGUAUGUUCUCCCCACUAUCUAUCCAGACCCAUCCACAUCCACUAAAGCGAUCAGAAGCUGUCUAAGAUCCAUCUAAUAGAAAAAUAUUACCCAAGCUUAAGACUUGGUUUUCCUCACUAUUGAUGGUCUGUACUACUGGUGGUAUCGUCUCAUUUUCAUUAAACGAGGCUUGACAUUCACUUUCUGCGUAUCGAACUAGUUCCAAAGGGUCUCUGUCUAUUCUCCUGAAAAGUUUAUCAUUGCGAACCUAAAUAUACCAUAUUAUCCAAAGAUAAGGAUUCCUGUCUUGGUCUGGUUCUAAGAUAUUAUUCUUCCUCCAGAAUAUAUAGUCCAUGUUUGUGUAGACGCUUGACACUGGAAAUGUACUUGGGCUUGUAGUAGUUGCCGAUAAGGACCAUACUUGCAGAGCUGAAGGGCAUUCAAAUAUUGCAUGCGUUACAGAUUCCUCUAUUUCUCCCACACCUUGGGAAAUAAUUAUCGCACCUCAUAUUCUGCCUUACUAGAUUCCUCGUUACUGCCACUUGAUCUGUUAUCAAUUGCCAUAUAAGAUAGCACAUCUUCCCUGGCGCUUUCAACUUCCAAGCAAAGGCUUGAAAUUUAAUGAGACUUGGUUCCAGUAUUUUAUUUUCCUCUUCUGGCUUCAAGAGAUUUUGAGCAAUUCAGUAUCCAGAUUUAACUUUGUAUUGACCAUUCCUCGUGUAGUUCCAGCAGAAAGUAUCACGGCGAUGAGUAUAGCUUAUGGCCAUACUGCGUACGAGUGGUAUGUCAUCAGGAUGGACAUAAUCUUCUAGUAGUCCUACGUCCCAUUCCUUCGAUUCCUGAUUAAUGAAGUCACUAACUCUCAUAUUCGGGUGCAUCACAUGCGCUACAGGUGUAGCUGGUCCAGCAUGUGUCGUUGGAAUCCACGGAUCCUCCCACACCUUGACUUCAUAACCAUAAUGAAUUUUCUAUCUGAUCCCCAGAAGUAAAAGCUUCCUUGCGGCGAAGAUGCUUGGCCACACAUAUGAUGGACUACUUACAGAGGUUGCUAUUAGUGGCAAGGUCAUCCUAUAAUAUAUGCCCCUCAAGACUCGGACAACCAGUAAAUCGGGGUACUAAACCAGUCUCCAUAUAUAAUUGUUUUGCCAGUAGUGCUAGAUUGAACUCAUGAUCUAAACGAAAGCCAAUCCCGCCCUCUUCUUUUGGUAGACAAACAUUUUCCCAUUUCGUCCAGUGUAUUCCUCUUUUUGGUGGAUUUGAACUCCAUCAAAAUUGUGCAAUGGUACUAGCGAGGUUUUCACAAAUCUCCAAUGGGAGCAGAAACGUCGACAUAACGUAUGUCGGAAGAGCGAGUAAAAUAGAUUUGAUCAUUACCUCCUUCUCCCCUUUUGAGAGCCAUCUACCAUUCUAUCAAUUUACUCUAUGCAUCAGGUUAUCCUUUAGAAAUGAAAAAAGUUUGCAUUUGGAGCCACUAAUAUCCUCUGGGAUUCCCAAGUACUUUCCCAUCCCACCAUCAUUAUGUAUUCCAAGUGCAUCUUUAAUCUCUUGCCUAGUAGUUUCAUUAAUCCUCUUACCAAAGAGUAAGGAAGAUUUGUCAAAGUUAAUACAUUUGCCAGAUGCUUUACCUUAUGUCAUGACUACUUUCAUUACUUCUUCACAUUCACGGGGCUACACCUUAUAGAAGAAAAGGCUAUCAUCAUCAAAGAGAAGGUGGGAUACCGAAGGACAUGCACGUGUGACGCGCAUCCCCGUUAUCUUCCCUUGGUUCUCUGCAUGAUUGAGAAGGCUAACAAGCGCUUCCGUGCACAAAAUAAAAAUGAAAAGAGACAAAAGAUCUACUUGACGCAGGCCUCUACCUGGAACAAUAUUUCCUCUUGCCUGCCCAUUCAUAAGAACUUUAUAUUUUACCGAUGUAAUGCACCUCAUAAUUCAGGUGAUCCAUGUUUCAGAAAAUCCCAUCUUUCGCAUCACAGCUUCAAUAAACGACCAUUCCAUCCUGUCAUAUGCUUUACUCAUAUCUGUCUUGAUGGUCAUCCUUUUAUUACGUCCACUCGGUUUAGUUCGCAGGGCAUGAAACAUUUCUUGAACAAUCAUGAUAUUAUCUGAAAUCUGUCUUCCAGUAACAAAGGCUGACUGGGUUUCUAAUAUCAAUCCUGGUAAGACUUUCUUUAGUCUCUGGCAUAAGACCUUAGAGAUGAUCUUGUAGCUGACAUUGCACAAACUUAUGUGUCUGAAUUUAACCAUAUCAUUAGGCUUAGUUGUCUUUGGGAUAAGACAUAUAUUUGUAUCAUUCAGACUAUUUGCUAUAUUCUCUUCAAAAAAGAAUUUAUUAACCAUAAGAGUUAAAUCCUCCUUGACUAUAUUCCAAAACUUUUGGUAAAAAAGUGCAGUCAUUCCAUCUGGUUCCGGCGCCUUAUCUGGAUGCAUGGCAAAGAGAACUAAUUUGACUUCCCAUUCGAAAACAGGAGCUGUGAAGCUCUCAUUCAUUGAUCCUGUAAUCAUCGUAGGAACUUCAGAUAGCUCUUUUAAAGAUGUUCUAAGAGGUUUUCAAUUAAACAAAUAGUAUAGCGUAAACAUUUAAUAUGACUCCAUUGUUAGGACUGAUAGGAUAUGUAUUCGGUAUCUUAGAUAUACUUUAUUACUGUUAUACUCUCUCUUUUCAUAUUAAAUGUCAUUUUAACAUUUUUUUUGUUGUUACAUAAAAAGUGUCAUUCUACAAUUCUAAUAUAAUUUACUCUUAUUUUUAGCUUAAUAUUAAUUGUAAAAUGCAUUGAUCUUAUAAAUAAAUGUAUUUAUCUAAAAUGCUAUUGAUUAAAUGUUAUUAAUGAAAACAUAAAUGCAUUUCAAUCAGUUUUUAAUAUGUGUAAAAAUGUUUAAGUUACACUUUUUGUGAAUUGGAAGGAGUAUUGUGUAUCUUAAGGAGUACUAUAUAUUUUACACAUGCUAUAAAUUAAAGUUUCCCAACUCUACACAUGUAUAUACUGAUUAAUAUUACUUCUUUCGUUCCCGAAAAUAAGAUUUUCUAGAGUUUUUUACGUUUAUUAAGAAUAUAAUAAAUAUUUAUAAUUUAAUUUACAAUUUAUUUUUCAAUACACUUUCCAAUAACUAUCCACCAAUAAAAUUUAAUCAAUUCAAAUAUUCACAAUUAAUGUUUCUCAAAAUUAUAUAAAAGUAUCUUAAAAAUAGGGGAAUUGCCACUAAUACCACUUUCCUAAUACCACUUUUCAACUUUACACUAACCACUUUUACCCUCAUCUUUAAUGAAGGGUAAAAGACAUUUAUAACCUUAUUUAAUGAAACAUAAACAUAUUCUCCAACAAGAAUUUUCAAAAUUCCCAAAUUGAUCGACGACUCUAGUUAGAGAUUCGACGAGACGAUUCCGGCGAGAAAAUGAGAGAGAUCCUCCACAUCCACGGCGACCAAUGUGGAAACCAGAUCGGAGCCAAGUUCUGGGAAGUGAUCUGCGACGAGCACGACGUUGACCACACCGGCCAAUACGUCGGCGACUCUCCCCUCCAGCUCGAACGUAUCGAUGUCUACUUCAACGAAUUCUCGAUGUUGUGAGGAAGGAAGCUGAGAACAAAGAUUGCCUACAAGGUUUCCAGUUUUGUCAUUCGUUGGGAGGAGGAACUAGAUCUGGGAUGGGAACGCUUUUGAUCUCUAAGAUUAGGGAGGAGUAUCCAGAAUGUGGUUUGUACGAUCAAAGAAUUAAAUAUUUAUAACUCUUUAUAAAAGUUGCAGAGUUGGCUUCUUUA